UACAGAGGUCUCAAGCGUUGUUCGGAUUCAUUGGGCGUAAAGGGUGUGUAGGUGGCGCGCUAAGUCGGGUGUGAAAUUUCGGAGCUUAACUCCGAAACUGCAUUCAAUACUGGCGUGCUUGAGGACUGGAGAGGAGACUGGAAUUCAUGGUGUAGCAGUGAAAUGCAUAGAGAUCAUGAGGAAGACCAGUGGCGAAGGCGGGUCUCUGGACAGUUCCUGACACUGAGACACGAAGGCCAGGGGGAGCAAACGGGG
rnacentral:rRNA from 1 species